rnacentral:lncRNA from 1 species
AAUCUCAUACCUAUGAGAUUUAUUCAACUUCCUGGUGAUUCUCCACCACUUUAUGUAUCCAAAUCAAGCUUCUCACAAAGUGAUUCAUCCAGGUUUGAUUGGAACGACGAAGAAGCUGUGCUAUUCCCAAACUGGGAAACUGGAAUCACCUGAUUUGAAAGUGGAAUAACUUCUUCAUGCCAACUCCUAUGAGAUUUAUUAAACUUCCUGGUGAUUCUCCACCUCUUUAUGUAUCCAAAUCAAGCUUCUGACAAAGUGAUUCAUCCUGUGUUGAUUAGAACGACGAAGAAGCUGUGCUAUUCCCAAACUGGGAAACUGGUGGUGAUUCUCCACCACUUUAUGUAUCCAAAUCAAACUUAUUACAAAGUGAUUCAUCCUUUUUUGAUUAGAACGACGAAGAAGCUGUGCUAUUCCUAAACUGGGAAACUGUAAUCACCUGAUUUGAAAGUGGGAUAACUUCUUCAUGCCAACUCCUAUGAGAUUUAUUCAACUUCCUGGUGAUUCUCCACCACUUUAUGUAUCCAAAUCAAGCUUCUUACAAAAUG